rnacentral:tRNA from 1 species
GUUUUAUAGUUUAAACUAAAAUAUUGAUCUUGUAAAUCAAAGAAAAUGAAAUUUUAAAAACA